rnacentral:rRNA from 1 species
CAGUAGCCGCGGUAAUACGUAGGUGGCGAGCGUUGUCCGGAAUUAUUGGGCGUAAAGGGCUCGCAGGCGGUUUCUUAAGUCUGAUGUGAAAGCCCCCGGCUCAACCGGGGAGGGUCAUUGGAAACUGGGAAACUUGAGUGCAGAAGAGGAGAGUGGAAUUCCACGUGUAGCGGUGAAAUGCGUAGAGGUGUGGAGGAACACCAGUGGCGAAGGCGACUCUCUGGUCUGUAACUGACGCUGAGGAGCGAAAGCGUGGGGAGCGAACAGGAUUAGAUACCCGAGUAGUCCCUGUCUCUUAUAC